rnacentral:rRNA from 1 species
UACAGAGGUCCCAAGCGUUGUUCGGAUUCACUGGGCGUAAAGGGUGCGUAGGUGGUGGGGUAAGUUUGAUGUGAAAUCUCCGAGCUUAACUCGGAAAUGGCAUUGAAUACUAUCUUGCUCGAGGGUCGGAGGGGAGACUGGAAUUCUCGGUGUAGCAGUGAAAUGCGUAGAUAUCGAGAGGAACACCAGUGGCGAAGGCGAGUCUCUGGACGACAUCUGACACUGAGGCACGAAAGCUAGGGGAGCAAACAGGAUUAGAUACCCUGGUAGUCCUAGCUGUAAACGGUGCACAUUUGCUGUGAACGGAUUCGACCCCGUUCGUGGCGAAGCUAACGCGUUAAAUGUGCCGCCUGGGAAGUACGGUCGCAAGAUUA